UAGUUUCUAUAGUUGAAUUACAAGGUGGUUUUUCAGAUCACAAGUUCUGGUUAAAGUCCUGAUAGGAAUU
rnacentral:tRNA from 1 species